AGCUCCAAUAGCGUAUAUUAAAGUUGUUGCAGUUAAAAAGCUCGUAGUUGGAUUCCUGGUUAGAGCGGCCGGUCUGGUCCGAACGGAUCAGUACUUUGAGCUGUCUUUGACCUUCCUUUGGGAGAAUCUGUGUUGUUAUUCGUUUAGCAGUGCAGGGGACCCCAAUCGUUUACUGUGAAAAAAUUAGAGUGUUUAAAGCAGGCAUUUGCUGUGAAUACAUUAGCAUGGAAUAAUAAGAUAGGACUUUGGUGCUAUUUUGUUGGUUUGCACACCAAGGUAAUGAUUAACAGGGACAGUUGGGGGUAUUCGUAUUUAAUUGUCAGAGGUGAAAUUCAUGGAUUUAUGAAAGACGAACUACUGCGAAAGCAUUUACCAAGGAUGUUUUCA
rnacentral:rRNA from 1 species